UUGCUUCAGCAUAAAUCGAACAUAAGAUGCGUCCUCCGCAUAAAGUCUAGCUCUUAAGGGUUUAGGGGAUUUGGGAUUAGGGGAAAGGGAGGCGAGAAAGAAGAAGGGCGCAGGAACGACGAGCUUUCUAAAAGCGAGCUAAAUCUAGAAACUAAAGCGGCUAAGUAGACGCCCACGGCCUAUACCGCACGGAGCUGUAGGUACCGUACUCGCACUGCGAGUGCUACGGGCUGGUCGACAGCGUGCGGCCCUUCUUCUCUAGGCGGCUGCUCUUGGAGCAAGAGCGGCUGCUCAGGCUCCGGGAACCUACCAGCAGCCGCCAGAGCCUGGCGUCCGAGCGGGACGCGGCGGCGGCCGCUCCAGGCCAAAGGAGAAGGACGGCGGCGCCGACGUAGCACCACUGCCUCCGCGGGCUGACGGCACGGCUCCUCCGCCAGCUUCCGCGGGUCGAUCGACGUGGCCUCGCGUUCCGAAGGAGACAACUCCUCGACCAGACGACCUGGCAUGAGAUUAGGUUGUUAGGUUGGUAGGUUUGAGCGGUCCGGACGAACACGUUUACAGACUUUUUCCAAGCUACAAAGACGAGGGCAACACAGGUAGAUAACGUCUCAGGAAAGAAAGAUCUGGUAUACUUAUUGGACAAAAGAGAAGAAAAAACACAGUUACAGCCUCGUGGAACCCCAAAGCCCCUCCGCCACGAUGUUCUUCAAUUCCUCCGCAGUAUACUUCAUUAGUUUAAUGUUCAGUUCUCCGGCCUACACGACCUUACAGUCAAAUCGAUCCUUCAGUCAAAUCGAUCGUACCAGUACAGUCAAUCAUGAGGGAAACAUUUGAUAGAAUAUGAGGGAGGCAGGGUAUUAUACUCUUGCAAAAACUGUGAUGUGUCCCUCAUCUUCAAUCAAUGUAGAAUAUAUUCAAUCAAUUACUAGAUUUGAUAGAAUAUCUUCAAAUGUUUUCCUCAUGAAUCAUGAUCAACAAAGGACAUUAUAGCACCGAGUGCCGUCAUACAUUCGGCCUCUCACCCACCUCCCGCCGUGCUAUACUUAUUUUGGUAUCAAAAGGGAUAGAACGUAACAAACGUCUUGGUGUUCAACCAACGCUCUAAACUACCCAAAGUGGAGAUCGGAUGG
rnacentral:rRNA from 1 species